rnacentral:lncRNA from 1 species
AAAAAAGUAGGCUAUAAACUAUAUUAAAACAAAAACUAAAAACUGGGGAAGAUGGAAUUGUUUUUAAUAAUUCUAGGAUUUGAGUCAUUUUUGUCAAAUUGGGAUCAAUACGUGAAAUUAUAGUUUUACCCUUUGGCUGAAAUCCUCUACUAUGCUGCAAUUACGCAUGUCUAGCUGUGACCACGGCAUGCGACCGCAGUUUACCUCCGUGACUACAAUUGAUUGACCAUCCUUGACUUCUACGACUACGAUCAGUGAAUCACUAGAAAUGUGAUACAUUAAAAAGUAAUAGAGGUAUCAGUACAAGAGCUUUUAAUAAAAUAAGAGUAAAAAGGUGAAAUAUCAAGAGAAAUACACUAAUACAACUUAUC